AGUGAACGCUGGCGGUAGGCCUAACACAUGCAAGUCGAACGGCAGCACAGUAAGAGCUUGCUCUUACGGGUGGCGAGUGGCGGACGGGUGAGGAAUACAUCGGAAUCUACUUUUUCGUGGGGGAUAACGUAGGGAAACUUACGCUAAUACCGCAUACGACCUACGGGUGAAAGCAGGGGAUCUUCGGACCUUGCGCGAUUGAAUGAGCCGAUGUCGGAUUAGCUAGUUGGCGGGGUAAAGGCCCACCAAGGCGACGAUCCGUAGCUGGUCUGAGAGGAUGAUCAGCCACACUGGAACUGAGACCCGGUCCAGACUCCUACGGGAGGCAGCAGUGGGGAAUAUUGGACAAUGGGCGCAAGCCUGAUCCAGCCAUACCGCGUGGGUGAAGAAGGCCUUCGGGUUGUAAAGCCCUUUUGUUGGGAAAGAAAAGCAGCAGGUUAAUACCCCGCUGUUCUGACGGGACCCAAAGAAUAAACACCGGCUAACUUCGU
rnacentral:rRNA from 1 species